UGCGAAGGGGGCUAGCGUUGUUCGGAAUCACUGGGCGUAAAGCGCACGUAGGCGGAUUGUUAAGUCGGGGGUGAAAUCCUGAGGCUCAACCUCAGAACUGCCUUCGAUACUGGCAAUCUCGAGUCCGGAAGAGGUUGGUGGAACAGCUAGUGUAGAGGUGAAAUUCGUAGAUAUUAGCUAGAACACCAGUGGCGAAGGCGGCCAACUGGUCCGGUACUGACGCUGAGGUGCGAAAGCGUGGGGAGCAAACAGG
rnacentral:rRNA from 1 species